rnacentral:rRNA from 1 species
GACGAACGCUGGCGGCGUGCUUAACACAUGCAAGUCGAACGGUAAGGCUCCAGCUUGCUGGGGUACACGAGUGGCGAACGGGUGAGUAACACGUGGGUGACCUGCCCUGCACUUCGGGAUAAGCCUGGGAAACUGGGUCUAAUACCGGAUAGGACCGCACCGUGAGGGUGUAGUGGAAAGUUUUUUCGGUGUGGGCUGGGCCCGCGGCCUAUCAGCUUGUUGGUGGGGUAAUGGCCUACCAAGGCGGCGACGGGUAGCCGGCCUGAGAGGGUGGACGGCCACAUUGGGACUGAGACACGGCCCAGACUCCUACGGGAGGCAGCAGUGGGGAAUAUUGCACAAUGGGCGGAAGCCUGAUGCAGCGACGCCGCGUGGGGGAUGACGGCCUUCGGGUUGUAAACUCCUUUCACCAUCGACGAAGGGUUUCUGACGGUAGAUGGAGAAGAAGCACCGGCUAACUACGUG